AACGCGAAGAACCUUACCAAGGCUUGACAUAUACAGGAAUAUGGCAGAGAUGUCAUAGCCGCAAGGUCUGUAUACAGGUGGUGCAUGGUUGUCGUCAGCUCGUGUCGUGAGACGUUGGGUUAAGUCCCGCAACGAGCGCAACCCUCGUCCUGUGUUGCCAGCAUUUAGUUGGGGACUCACAGGAGACUGCCGGGGUUAACCCGGAGGAAGGUGGGGAUGACGUCAAAUCAUCAUGCCCCUUAUGUCUUGGGCUGCACGCAUGCUACAAUGGCUGGUACAAACGGCUGCGAUACCGCAAGGUGGAGCGAAUCCGAUAAAGCCAGUCUCAGUUCGGAUUGGGGUCUGCAACUCGACCCCAUGAAGUCGGAGUUGCUAGUAAUCGUAGAUCAGCAACGCUAUCGGUGAAUACGUUCCCGGGUCUGUACACACCG
rnacentral:rRNA from 1 species